AGCUCUAGCAUCCCCCGGGGACCUCAAAAUAUUCUGCUGGAUGCUACGUUAAGAAGAGAGGACGAGUGGGAGCACAGGAGCUACAGCUCUGCACAGGAGGAAUUCAUUGGUCAGUCCUGGCAGUGGAUCUAUGAGGAUACUGAUACCCACAGAAGUUACAAGAUUUACACAAUACCCAAUAUCACAAGACAGCCAUCCUAAACCAUCUGCUGUCCUUCUAGACCUGGCUUUUCAGCUCUUCAGCCUUGGGACUGUUGGCAUUUGGGACAGGAUAAGUCUUUGGGAAUGGGGGCUUCCCUAUGCAUUGUAGGAUUUUCAGCAGCAUCUCUGGCCUCCACCCACUGGAUCCCAGUGGUACUUGUCUCCCUCAUCUCCAGAUGUGACAAUAAAAAAUAUUGCCAAAUGCCACCUGAAGAGCAAAAUCACCUCCAG
rnacentral:lncRNA from 1 species